rnacentral:rRNA from 1 species
GGGCCCGCACAAGCGGUGGAGUAUGUGGUUUAAUUCGACGCAACGCGAAGAACCUUACCAGGGCUUGACAUCCUCUGACAGCCCAAGAGAUUGGGUAUUCCGUCUUCGGAUGGACAGAGAGACAGGUGGUGCAUGGUUGUCGUCAGCUCGUGUCGUGAGAUGUUGGGUUAAGUCCCGCAACGAGCGCAACCCUUAUCCUUAGUUGCCAGCACAAAAGGUGGGCACUCUAAAGAGACUGCCGGUGACAAACCGGAGGAAGGUGGGGAUGACGUCAAAUCAUCAUGCCCUUUAUGUCCUGGGCUACACACGUACUACAAUGGCCUGUACAAAGGGUAGCGAAGCCGUGAGGUGGAGCCAAUCCCAAAAAGCAGGUCUCAGUUCGGAUUGCAGGCUGCAACUCGCCUGCAUGAAGUCGGAAUCGCUAGUAAUCGCGGAUCAGCAUGCCGCGGUGAAUACGUUCCCGGGCCUU